rnacentral:rRNA from 1 species
GAUGAACGCUAGCGGCAGGCCUAAUACAUGCAAGUCGAACGGUGUAGCAAUACACAGUGGCGCACGGGUGCGCAACACGUAUGCAACCUACCUUACAUUGGGGGAUAGCCUUUCGAAAGGGAGAUUAAUACCGCAUAAGACAGUAACUAGGCAUCUAGUAGCUGUUAAAGAUUUAUCGAUGUAAGCUGGGCAUGCGUCCAAUUAGUUAGUUGGCGAGGUAAUGGCUCACCAAGACGAUGAUUGGUAGGGGAACUGAGAGGUCAAUCCCCCACACUGGCACUGAGAUACGGGCCAGACUCCUACGGGAGGCAGCAGUAGGGAAUAUUGGGCAAUGGGCGCAAGCCUGACCCAGCCAUGCCGCGUGCAGGAAGAAGGCGUUAUGCGUUGUAAACUGCUUUUAUACAGGAAGAAACGACCCUUGCGAGGGGCAUUGACGGUACUGUAUGAAUAAGCACCGGCUAACUCCGUGCCAGCCGCCGCGGUAAUAC